CAUCUUGCGAAACACCAGUAAAAUGAUUUAAGCCAACAAUACAGUGGCAAUACAGCAAAAGAAUUCAAGAAAACAACUCACAACCUUCGGAAUACAUCGUUCCUCAGAUUUCUCUGGAUCAUUUACUGGGCCCUAUACCGAAGUUCACAACAUUUUCUAUGUAUUUCAACAAGAAGACAAGCAAGAACAGAGGUGAAGUCCUAUCAGAGCAGUAGCAGUUCCUGACAGAUCACACAAUCUGCUGAUAAGUGUAGGCAUUAUAUUAGCCAAGAAGAAGAGAAGAUCCUUUAUUGAAGACGUUGAAAAAGUAAUAUCAGAUUGCUUCAUAUCUUAUCUUUGCUUUUAAGACACUCUUAUUGCACCAAAAUGAAAGUUGAUGAAAUCAACCUGAUGAAAACCACUCUUGAGAAAGGGGGGAGAAACCCACCAAAUGAAACCUUAGAUAACAUAUUUAAUAAAUUGUUAGUGUAUAUUGAAGGGUCUCCUCACUUAAAUAAAACGAAUAAAAAUAUUGAGAAGAAAUAUAACAUUAAAAGGGAGCAUGAUGAUUGCUGGCCAGAGGAUGAUAUCAAACGAGCUUGGGGAAAAACGCAGAGAAUGGAUAAAACCUCAUUAAAAAGAAAACGCUGGUCUCUUGCGAUAAUGAUGCAGGUGAUAAAAAGAAGACAGAAUUU